CACACACAUACAUGUAGGUAAAACUCUAA
rnacentral:piRNA from 1 species